rnacentral:hammerhead_ribozyme from 1 species
AUCCAGCUGAUGAGUCUAAAAUAGGACGAAACGUACCUCCUGGAU